rnacentral:rRNA from 1 species
AAUGGUCCGGUGAAGUGUUCGGAUCGCGGCCUGUGGGCGGUUCGCCGCCGGCGAGUCGCGAGAAGUCCACUGAACCUUAUCAUUUAGAGGAAGGAGAAGUCGUAACAAGGUUUCCGUAGGUGAACCUGCGGAAGGAUCAUUG